rnacentral:rRNA from 1 species
GACAGAGGGUGCGAACGUUGUUCGGAAUUACUGGGCGUAAAGCGCGUGUAGGCGGCUCGAUAAGUCGGAUGUGAAAGCCCUGGGCUCAACCUAGGAAGUGCAUUCGAAACUGCUGAGCUUGAGUUCUGGAGAGGAAGGCGGAAUUCUCGGUGUAGAGGUGAAAUUCGUAGAUAUCGAGAGGAACACCGGUGGCGAAGGCGGCCUUCUGGACAGCAACUGACGCUGAGACGCGAAAGCGUGGGUAGCAAACAGG